AUAUCUCUCUGUACGGGAAGGAUGAGAAGCUUCUACCAGGGUUCGAUUCGAGCGCAGCGAGAAAGCGUUGCCGCAGGC
rnacentral:sRNA from 3 species